rnacentral:rRNA from 1 species
GAUCAUGGCUCAGGAUGAACGCUAGCGGCAGGCUUAACACAUGCAAGUCGAGGGGCAGCGCAGGGCGGCAACGUCCUGGCGGCGACCGGCGGAAGGGUGCGUAACGCGUGAGCGACAUGCCCGUUGCCCGGGGACAACCGGUGGAAACGCCGACUAAUCCCCGAUGGGACGGAGGCCCUCAUGGGUCUCUGUUGAAAGUUACGGCGGCGACAGAUUGGCUCGCGUCCGAUUAGCUAGUUGGCGGGUAACG